ACGAGGGGGCCGCGCCGCGCCCCUGUUCAGUUGGCCACCUAUUGCGCGGAGGGGUGGGCAACCGCCACGUAUUGGCGGCCCGUUGGGGUCCCUUCCAAAGCCUUCCCGAGGUCCCAGGUAAUGACGCUGACGCUGCCCGCAGAUACGCGCCAUUGCCUUCAAGUCUGUCAUGAUUUUGCAAUUCACUUACUAUCGCAUCGUGCUUUUUUAUCGAUGCAGACCAAGCUCCGUUGUGACAAGUUUGAUUCAUUUUGAAUUUUUUGCUAAGCUGUAGAAUACGUCGCGAGGCGACUAAGAAGAGUUUGGUUGGUUCUCGGCGGGCGCCUGGUUCGGGGUGCGACGCACCCGGGGCGUGACCCGCCGAGGCAACCGUUUGGUAACGUUCACAUUGGGUUUGGAGUGUAAACUCGGUAAUGACCUUUUCUUUUGGGGGGCCUGCGGAGGGAUUUCAUUACCGUGUUUAGAACUCCCAAACCCAAUGUGAACGUUACCAAACUGUUGCCUCGGCGGGGUCACGCCCCGGGUGCGUCGCAGCCCCGGAACCAGGCGCCCGCCGGAGGAACCAACCAAACUCUUUCUGUAGUCCCCUCGCGGACGUAUUUCUUACAGCUCUGAGCAAAAAUUCAAAAUGAAUCAAAACUUUCAACAACGGAUCUCUUGGUUCUGGCAUCGAUGAAGAACGCAGCGAAAUGCGAUAAGUAAUGUGAAUUGCAGAAUUCAGUGAAUCAUCGAAUCUUUGAACGCACAUUGCGCCCGCCAGUAUUCUGGCGGGCAUGCCUGUCCGAGCGUCAUUUCAACCCUCGAACCCCUCCGGGGGAUCGGCGUUGGGGAUCGGGACCCCUCACACGGGUGCCGGCCCCUAAAUACAGUGGCGGUCUCGCCGCAGCCUCUCCUGCGCAGUAGUUUGCACAACUCGCACCGGGGGCGCGGCGCGUCCACGUCCGUAAAACACCCAACUUUCUGAAAUGUUGACCUCGGAUCAGGUAGCUGCGAAUCAAUUCCCGCUGAACUUAAGCAUAUCAAGGCCCCGAGAGGAAAAAUCAUUACGGAGUUUUCAACCUCCCAAACCCAAUGUGAACGUUACCAAACUGUUGCCUCGGGCGGGGUCACGCCCCGGGUGCGUCGAGCCCCGGAACCAGGCGCCCGCCGGAGGAACCAACCAAACUCUUUCUGUAGUCCCUCGCGGACGUAUUUCUUACAGCUCUCAGCAAAAAUAUCAAAAUGAGAUCAGAAUUUUCAACAACAGAGUGUGGGUUCUAGCAUCGAUGAAAAAGCAGCGUAAUGCGAUAAGUAAUGUGAAAUUGCAAAA
rnacentral:rRNA from 1 species